UCACAGAGAAGAAGAAGAAGAAGAAGGAAGCAAGCUUUGAAGCAAUGGGCGAGUCGAGUGACUCAGUUUCUAUUGACAUUGAUGUGGUACCUUUAGGAGGGAAGGAAUGUGUGGUGAAAACAAGCAAAGGUUCAGUGUCUGUGUUUGUGUGUGGGGAUCAAGGAAAGCCUGCUUUGAUAACGUACCCAGAUGUUGCUCUUAAUUACACGUCUUGCUUCCAAGGUCUCUUCUUUUGCUCAGAUGCAGCUUCUUUGCUGCUUCAUAACUUUUGCAUAUACCAUAUCGAUGCGCCUGGACAUGAGUUGGGAGCUGAUGUGAUAUCUUCAGAUGUUCCUCUUCUUAGUGUGGAUGACCUUGCAGACCAGCUUGUUGAAGUGCUUGAUUUCUUUGGGUUGAAAGAGGUCCUGUGCUUGGGUGUGACAGCUGGUGCUUAUAUUCUCACACUGUUUGCAAUGAAGUAUAAAGAACGGGUGCUUGGGUUAAUACUUGUGUCCCCUAUCUGCAAAGCACCUUCAUGGACUGAAUGGCUCUACAACAAGGUAUUGCUGAACUUGUUAUACUUUUAUGGUAUGUGCGGUGUAUUAAAGGAAUGCCUUCUCCAGCGAUACUUCAGUAAGGAGCUUAGGUGUGGUACACAAGGUGCAGAAUCAGAUGUAAUACAAGCUUGCCGAAGGUUAUUGGAUGAAAGACAAAGUUUGAACGUGAUGCGAUUUCUUCAAGCAAUAAAUGAGAGGCAUGACCUUACAGAGAGCUUGAAGAGUUUGCAGUGCAAGACUCUUAUUUUUGUGGGUGAAAAUAGUCCAUUCCAUGCUGAAUCUUUGUAUAUGAAUGCAAGAAUGAACAGUAAAAUUGUGCUCUUGUUGUAGGUUCAGUCAUGUGGCUCGUUGGUAACAGAAGAGCUCCCAAACGCCAUGCUUGUUCCAAUCGAGUUCUUCCUCAUGGGAUUUGGCUACUAUAGGCAACCACAUUUUGCUUCCUCAUCAAGUAAUGACUCGAACCCUACAAGCCCCUCAAGCCGUUUGUCCAUAGCACCAGAACUUUUUUCUCCUGAGGGUCUGGGUAUCAAGCUCAAACCCAUCAAAACAAGGGUGAAUACUAAGAGUUGAUGCACAAGUGUACUAGUUGAUUGCUGGUUGUAUAAAUCUCACGAGAGAAGGGGACUUGAUGGCUUACAGGAGUAAAUAGCAAAUUCUUUGGUUGUAGCAGACUAGCGGUGAGAGUCGGUUAGGUCCGUGGUAUAUGCAUAGGCAUUUGUCUAAAUAAACAGUAGCAAAUUCUUUGAUUAUAGUGGUCAGGACUCAGGACUGGUUAGAUGGUAUACGUUAGAUAUUUUUUUCUCCCAAUUACACUAGUAUAUUGUCCAUUU